rnacentral:rRNA from 1 species
AGGGCGUACGGUGGAUGCCUAGGCUCUCACAGGCGAUGAAGGACGUGAUAAGCUGCGAUAAGCUUCGGGGAGGUGCAAAUGACCUUUGAUCCGGAGAUUUCCGAAUGGGACAACCCGGCAGGCUGAAGGCCUGUCAUCCGAUGAAUGUCGGAGGCAAACGCGGGGAACUGAAACAUCUUAGUACCCGCAGGAAGAGAAAAUAAAAAUGAUUCCCCUAGUAGUGGCGAGCGAACGGGGAAGAGCCCAAACCGCUGCGGUUCCGGCCGCGGCGGGGUUGUAGGACUGCGAUAUCGAGAAGAAGAAGUGAGUGGAACGUACUGGAAAGUGCGGCCAUAGCGGGUGAUAGCCCCUUACACGAAGCCUCUUUCAUCGUAGCAGUAUCCUGAGUAGCGCGGGACACGUGAAAUCCUGUGUGAAUCCGGCGGGCCCAUCCGCCAAGGCUAAAUACUCGUGAGAGACCGAUAGUGAACCAGUACCGUGAGGGAAAGGUGAAAAGCACCGCGCGCAGCGGAGUGAAAUAGUCCCUGAACCCGUACGCCUACAAGCGGUCGGAGCAACAUUAUGUUGUGACGGCGUGCCUUUUGCAUAAUGAACCUACGAGUUGCCGUCGCCGGCGAGGUUAAGCGCAAAGAUGCGCGCAGCCGAAGCGAAAGCGAGUCUUAAACGGGCGCAUAGUCCGCGGCGGCAGACGCGAAACCGAGUGAUCUACCCUUGUCCAGGCUGAAGUCCGGGUAACACCGGAUGGAGGGCCGAACCAAUAAGCGUUGAAAAGCUUCUGGAUGAGGUGAGGGUAGGAGUGAAAGGCCAAUCAAACUCGGAGAUAGCUCGUACUCCCCGAAAUGCAUUUAGGUGCAGCCCCCGUUGUUUCCUGCAUGAGGUAGAGCGACUGAUCGGAUGCGAGGGCUUCACCGCCUAUCAAGUCCGGACAAACUCCGAAUGCGUGCAGGUUAGAGACGGGGAGUGAGGGCAUGGGUGCUAAGGUCCGUGCCCGAGAGGAGAAGAAUCCAGACCGCCGGCUAAGGUCCCGAAUUACAGGUUAAGUUAGUCUAACGAAGUGUUGUCCCGAAGACAGCUAGGAUGUUGGCUUGGAAGCAGCCAUUCAUUCAAAGAGUGCGUAACAGCUCACUAGUCGAGGGACGUCGCAUGGAUAAUAAUCGGGUAUGAAAUCUGUAACCGAAGCCGCGGGAUGUUGUAUGACAUCGGUAGGGGAGCAUUCCACCGGCGUUGAAUGUCGAAGAUGACUUCGGCUGGAGCUUGUGGAAAAGCAAAUGUAGGUAUAAGUAACGAUAAAGAGGGUUAGAUGCCCUCUCGCCGAAAGACCAAGGAUUCCCGGGCAACGUUAAUCGCCCCGGGGUUAGUCGGGCCCUAAGGAUAAGCCGAACGGCGAGGCCGAUGGAAGAAACGGUUAAUAUUCCGUUACUGCCUUGCAUGGCGAUGUGGAGACGGAGAAGUGACACUUCCGCGCACUGACGGAAACGUGCGUUGAAGAGUGUAGGCGUAGAUCGUGGUAGGCAAAUCCGCCGCGAGAGCCGAACUUGACAGUACGCAAAGCCUUCGGGCGGCGCGAUAGCGAAGGUAAGCAUGCUCCCGAGAAAAUCCGCUAAGCUUAACAUGCAAGGCACCCGUACCGUAAACGGACACACGUGGUCGGGUAGAAAAUACUAAGGCGCUUGGAAGAUUCACGGUUAAGGAACUAGGCAAAUUGACCCCGUACCUUCGGAAUAAGGGGUCCUCACAGCGAUGUGAGGCGCAGAGAAUAGGUCCAGGCAACUGUUUAACAAAAACACAGGGCUGUGCAAACUCGAAAGAUGAGGUAUACAGCCUGACACCUGCCCGGUGCCGGAAGGUUAAGAGGAGAUGUCAACCGCAAGGCGAAGCAUUGAAUUGAAGCCCCGGUAAACGGCGGCCGUAACUAUAACGGUCCUAAGGUAGCGAAAUUCCUUGUCGGGUAAGUUCCGACCUGCACGAAUGGUGUAACGAUCUGGGCGCUGUCUCAGCCGUGAGCUCGGUGAAAUUGUAGUGACGGUGAAGAUGCCGUCUACCCGCAACGGGACGAAAAGACCCCGUGAACCUUUACUAUAGCUUAGCGCUGAUCUUGGACGUCGGAUGUGUAGCAUAGGUGGGAGGCUUCGAGGCGCGGCCGCCAGGUCGCGAUUAGCCGCCAAAUGAAAUACCACCCUUCCGUCGUCUGGGGUCUAACUUCGCGAGAAGGACACCGCUUGGUGGGUAGUUUGACUGGGGUGGUCGCCUCCAAAAGAGUAACGGAGGCUUCCCAAGGUCCGCUCAGGACGAAUGGCAACCGUCCGCAGAGUGCAGUGGCAUAAGCGGGCUUGACUGGGAGACAAACAGGUCGAGCAGGUACGAAAGUAGGGCAAAGUGAUCCGGCGGUUCCCCAUGGGAGGGCCGUCGCUCAUAGGACAAAAGGUACUCCGGGGAUAACAGGCUGAUCGCUCCCAAGAGCUCAAAUCGACGGAGCGGUUUGGCACCUCGAUGUCGGCUCGUCACAUCCUGGGGCUGGAGCAGGUUCCAAGGGUUCGGCUGUUCGCCGAUUAAAGUGGCACGCGAGCUGGGUUCAGAACGU